rnacentral:rRNA from 1 species
CAGCCGCCGCGGUAAUACAGAGGGUGCAAUCGUUAAUCGGAAUUACUGGGCGUAAAGCGCGCGUAGGUGGUUUGUUAAGUUGGAUGUGAAAGCCCCGGGCUCAACCUGGGAACUGCAUCCAAAACUGGCAAGCUAGAGUACGGUAGAGGGUGGUGGAAUUUCCUGUGUAGCGGUGAAAUGCGUAGAUAUAGGAAGGAACACCAGUGGCGAAGGCGACCACCUGGACUGAUACUGACACUGAGGUGCGAAAGCGUGGGGAGCAAACAGGAUUAGAUACCCGAGUAGUCCCUGUCUCUUAUAC